rnacentral:rRNA from 1 species
UACGUAGGGGGCAAGCGUUGUCCGGAAUCAUUGGGCGUAAAGAGCGUGUAGGCGGCUCGAUAAGUCUGCUGUGAAAGUCCAGGGCUCAACCCUGGAAGGCCGGUGGAAACUGUCGGGCUAGAGUCCGGAAGAGGCGAGUGGAAUUCCCGGUGUAGAGGUGAAAUUCGUAGAUAUCAAGCAGAACACCUGCGGCGAAGGCGGCCUUCUGGACGAUGACUGACGCUGAGACACGAAAGCGUGGGGAGCAAACAGG